GACGAACGCUGGCGGCGUGCUUAACACAUGCAAGUCGAACGAUGAAGAAGAGAAACGCGAACUUCGGUUCAAAUUUCACUUCGGAUUAGUGGCAGACGGGUGAGUAACGCGUGAGCAACCUACCUCUUACAAAGGGAUAGCCUCGGGAAACCGUGAUUAAUACCAUAUGACACAUUCAUAAGGCAUCUUAAGAAUGUUAAAGCUACGGCGGUAAGAGAUGGGCUCGCGUCCCAUUAGCUAGUUGGUGAGGUAACGGCCCACCAAGGCGACGAUGGGUAACCGGCCUGAGAGGGUGAACGGUCACAUUGGAAAUGAGACACGGUCCAAACUCCUACGGGAGGCAGCAGUGGGGAAUAUUGCACAAUGGAGGGAACUCUGAUGCAGCGACGCCGCGUGAGAGAUGAAGGAAUUCGUUUCGUAAAGCUCUGUUCUAUGGGAAGAAAAGGACUGUACCAUAGGAGAAAGCCCCGGCUAAAUACGUG
rnacentral:rRNA from 1 species